AACGAACGCUGGCGGCAGGCUUAACACAUGCAAGUCGAGCGCCCCGCCAGGGGAGCGGCAGACGGGUGAGUAACGCGUGGGAACGUACCUUUUGGUUCGUAACAACUCCGGGAAACUGGAGCUAAUACCGGAUAAGCCCUAACGGGGAAAGAUUUAUCGCCGAAAGAUCGGCCCGCGUCUGAUUAGCUAGUUGGUGAGGUAACGGCUCACCAAGGCGACGAUCAGUAGCUGGUCUGAGAGGAUGAUCAGCCACACUGGGACUGAGACACGGCCCAGACUCCUACGGGAGGCAGCAGUGGGGAAUAUUGGACAAUGGGCGCAAGCCUGAUCCAGCCAUGCCGCGUGAGUGAUGAAGGCCUUAGGGUUGUAAAGCUCUUUUGUCCGGGAAGAUAAUGACUGUACCGGAAGAAUAAGCCCCGGCUAACUUCGUG
rnacentral:rRNA from 1 species